rnacentral:rRNA from 1 species
UACAGAGGUGGCAAGCGUUGUUCGGAAUUACUGGGCGUAAAGGGCGCGUAGGCGGUCUUGUAAGUCCCGUGUGAAAUCCCUCGGCUCAACUGAGGAACUGCACGGGAAACUGCUUGGCUUGAGUUCGGGAGAGGGAAGCGGAAUUCCGGGUGUAGCGGUGAAAUGCGUAGAUAUCCGGAGGAACACCGGUGGCGAAGGCGGCUUCCUGGACCGACACUGACGCUGAGGCGCGAAAGCUAGGGGAGCAAACAGG